UCUAUCCUUACGACAUAGAGCAGCAUAAACCAGUGUAGGCUGCCUUGCCUCAGUCUGAUUAGCACAUAUAAUAGGCAAACACUCAUCCGGAUGAUGCCAACCACAAUUACUCCAAGGUUAAGUCCCAGCAGGAGAAACAUGGAUUCUCACUCUAAUAGGCCCAUCAGGUCUAGCCCAUUUCUUAGGCCUCUGAACAGAACUAGA
rnacentral:lncRNA from 1 species